rnacentral:rRNA from 1 species
UACGAACUGUGCGAACGUUAUUCGGAAUCACUGGGCUUAAAGGGUGCGUAGGCGGCGACUCAAGUCAGGUGUGAAAUCCCCCGGCUCAACCGGGGAACAGCGCUUGAAACUGGGUUGCUCGAGUGAGGCAGGGGUAUGUGGAACUUCCGGUGGAGCGGUGAAAUGUGUAGAUAUCGGAAGGAACGCCGGCGGCGAAAGCGGCAUACUGGGCCUUGUCUGACGCUGAGGCACGAAAGCUAGGGGAGUGAACGGG